ensembl:lncRNA
ACUGAAGAUCUGAAACCGGCGGGUUAGGACGUCAACAACAGCCAACAAAUUAUUAGAAAUGAAGACCAUUUGUGAAAUGAAGAUUUUCAGGUUCCUGGCCACAUAUGUUCUCAUGUAUUUUCGAACGGACUUUCUCUGACUGUUGACCGCGGAAAACCGUGAACGAGGUUAUCAGAGAGCUGCGAUAAGAGAGGAAAACGGAGAGGAAGAGAAGCAGCCCGACGCGGUGUGAAGGAAUGGAAUAAACCCCAGAGCAGAACCAGAGGAAGGAGGGAUGACUGCCGUGAGAUGAAAGAGGGAUAGAGCAGGACACAGAACAACUCGAGAGACCAUUCAGCUGUGAAGAGACAGAAGAAGCCAGAAGAUCACACAAACACCCAAAGGUGAGAUGCAGAUGCAGUACCCAACUCUCACCUCUGGGGGUCACUACUGUCCUGCCCUGGAGGCCUGAGCUGCCUUUCCCCCUCGGCCAGCUCCACUUCCUCUUCACCUGCCACAUGAUCAUCACCCUGUACUUUCCUUUCACUUCUGGCUUCGCACGUGUAUGCCUCCGCCUCCAAGGGGAUGGCGUUCUGGAAGCAGUGUAAAAGAGAUGACGCCCUCCUCGGCCUUCCACACCUGGAAGAUGUACUGCACCCUGGAGCACAGUCUCUGUCGCAAAAUGGUGGGA